GUAGGUGGCAAGCGUUGUCCGGAAUUAUUGGGCGUAAAGCGCGCGCAGGCGGUUCUUUAAGUCUGAUGUGAAAGCCCACGGCUCAACCGUGGAGGGUCAUUGGAAACUGGAGAACUUGAGUACAGAAGAGGAAAGCGGAAUUCCACGUGUAGCGGUGAAAUGCGUAGAGAUGUGGAGGAACACCAGUGGCGAAGGCGGCUUUCUGGUCUGUAACUGACGCUGAGGCGCGAAAGCGUGGGGAGCAAACAGGGAUUAGAUACCCUGGUAGUCCACGCCGUAAACGAUGAGUGCUAAGUGUUAGGGGGUUUACCGCCCCCCUUAGUGCUGCAGCUAACGCAUUAAGCACUCCGCCUGGGGAGUACGGCCGGCAAGGCUG
rnacentral:rRNA from 1 species